rnacentral:rRNA from 1 species
GAUAUUGGGCGUAAGCGUCUGUAGGUGGUUCUUAAAGUCUACUGUCAAAUCCCAGAGCUCAACUUUGGACAGGCAGUAGAGCACUCAAGAGCUUGAGUACGGUAGGGGUAGAGGGAAUUCCUAGUGGAGCGGUGAAAUGCACAGAGAUUAGGAAGAACACCAGUGGCGAAGGCGCUCUACUGGGCCGUAACUGACACUGAGAGACGACAGCUGGGGGAGUGAAUAGGAUUAGAUACCCUAGUAAUCCCAGCCGUAAACGAUGGAUACUAAGUGCUGUCAAAAACAGUGCUGUAGCUAACGCGUUAAGUAUCCCGCCUGGGGAGUAUGCUCGCAAGAGUGAAACUCAAAGGAAUUGGCGGGGGAGCACA